rnacentral:rRNA from 1 species
ACCGUACUCCUACGGGAGGCAGCAGUGGGGAAUUUUGGACAAUGGGGGCAACCCUGAUCCAGCAAUGCCGCGUGAGUGAAGAAGGCCUUCGGGUUGUAAAGCUCUUUUGUCAGGGAAGAAACGGUAGUAGCUAAUAUCUAUUACUAAUGACGGUACCUGAAGAAUAAGCACCGGCUAACUACGUGCCAGCAGCCGCGGUAAUACGUAGGGUGCAAGCGUUAAUCGGAAUUACUGGGCGUAAAGCGUGCGCAGGCGGUUGUGUAAGUCAGAUGUGAAAUCCCCGGGCUCAACCUGGGAAUUGCAUUUGAGACUGCACGGGUAGAGUGUGGCAGAGGGGGGUAGAAUUCCACGUGUAGCAGUGAAAUGCGUAGAUAUGUGGAGGAAUAACGAUGGCGAUGGCAGCCCCCUGUGAUAACACUGACGCUCAUGCACGAAAGCGUGGGGAGCAAACAGGAUUAGAAACCCCAGUAGUCCUUGAC